ACUUAAUCAAAUCAAAUCCGUUAACUUCACAACUGUGAACUAAGAGCAGAUUUACGGUGCUUUUCUGUGUUACACCUGUUUUCUAAAUUUGCAGCGGUGCUAGUAACCUUCGCGCGUUUCCAGAGAGAGGACGUGCAAGAUGUCUGUCUCCAAAAUGACUGUGUGCCUCAGGAAGAUCGACUGGCUCCUGCCCAACGGAGCAGUCAAUGUCCGGAUUACUCCGGAAAAUACCCCUGGUUCCAUUAACCAUGGACGAACCAGUGGCAGUAAUGGAGGUCGUCGGAAGAAAUGCCGCCCCGGGCCCCUGACCAUGUCUUCCGCCGUUGGCUGUGCUCCCAUCCCAGUGGCAACCAGCAGGGGUCAGCCGAGCGCAGGAUGCCGUAGACGUGCGACGCGAGGCCUGCCAGCACGAAAAAGGAGACGUAAAAGACGGAAGGGGCCAUUCACCAAAAACUUAAAGAAGCUAGAUGAGGUCCUAUUUACUAAUGAUGUGUUAGACCAGCUGAGUGCCAUCCCCGGGGUCCUGGCGAUGGCCACGGAGAUGGGCUAUUUAUCAGACGUAAAUAGCUACAUUUAUACAUAAAUAAUUAGGCAAGAGAUCUCAUAAGUACUUAGCAUAAGAUAGGAUAAGUUAAGACUGUAUAACAUAAGAAUAUAGAAUAAGAUUAAGGUAAAAUUGUAUAACAUAAGAUAAUAUGUAUAGGAUUGAUAGGAAAGAGUAAUAUGAGUUUGUAUAGCAUAAGAUAACAGGAUAAGAUUAAGGUAAAACUGCAUAGCAUAAUAUAUGGAUAAGAUUAAGAUAGGAAAGAGUAAUAUAAGUUUGUGUAACAUAAGAUAACAUAGGAUAAGAUUAAGAUAGUAUACAUUUAGAUAAAGUUAAAAUUUUAUAAAAUAAGGUAAUAUAGGGUAGGUUAAGAUAAGAUAAAUAUUGUAUUUCUGUUAAAUAAAUAUUAUUUUACAUUCA